rnacentral:tRNA from 1 species
GAAGCUGGCGGAAAUGGGAUUCCGCGAUCGGACGCGGGUUCAACUCCCGCCAGCUCCACCA